rnacentral:lncRNA from 1 species
GCCAUAAUUAAAAUCCAGAUCUGCAUUCCUACCUCUUUGGUUUUCUUUCCACUCUGCCAUGCUGUCAAUAGUACAGUUUGGGCACUAGGAUUGGAUGAGACUGAAGCUGGCAAAGCGCACUGCAGACUCGACUCUGUCAUUCAAAGGCCUCUCAGAUGGCGGCAACAGCAUGAGGUGUCAGGAAAGCUUUGAAGCAAAGGGUGCAGCAGAAGAGGUGGUGAUGGAUUUUGCAGGAUGACACCUGUGUAUCUUUGGAAAUUACUCUUAACAACAUGUGGUUAGCCUGCCCAAAGUACCAGUACUAAACCAUAUAACUUCACAUGUGUUAUCUCAUUUGUCUUCCCCCUUCUCCCCCUGUCCACCAAACUCCCAUACUCCCAAACCCCUAGUCCUUAUAUAUGAGAAAUUUGUAAUUCCCAGAGUUCCGUUUCCUUAAAGAGAGUCCCAGGCCACCCGCAUUAGAAUAUUUUGGGGGUGUCUAUUAAAAAUCAGGUUCCAGGAACUUACCCUACACUUAAUAAUCAAGAAUCUCUGUAGGUGGAACCUGAGAGCCUAGAUGAUUCUAUGCAUCCCCAAGUUUGAGAAGCACUCUCAGAGAGGAGCGGUAACUUGUUCAAGGUCAAAAUAAGAGAGAUAACAUUUGAAUUUGCUGGUCUGUCUUGGAAUCCCAUGCUUUUCCCACUCACUCCACUUACAUAGUCCCAUCAUGUAAGGGAAGGAAUGGUCUCAUCAUCUAAGGAAAGGUGAGAGGCCACAUGCUGUCAACUAUUAUAUUAAUGUUUGACAUUUGAUGAAUAUUUUGAAGUUUCAAGGUGUUUUCCUCCAGCUUUCCCACUUAAUAAAGCAUAAUAUGGUUUGAUUA